UACAGAGGGGGCCAGCGUUAUUCGGAAUUAUUGGGCGUAAAGGGCGCGUAGGCGGCCAUGCGUGUCUUCCGUGAAAUCCCUCGGCUCAACCGAGGACGUGCGGAAGAAACUGCAAGGGCUCGAGUCCGGAAGAGGGGGGCGGAAUUCCCAGUGUAGCGGUGAAAUGCGUAGAUAUUGGGAGGAACACCAGUGGCGAAGGCGGUCCCCUGGGCCGGAACUGACGCUGAGGCGCGAAAGCGUGGGUAGCAAACGGGG
rnacentral:rRNA from 1 species